ensembl:lncRNA
CUUUAGAGGAGCAGAACUGUAGUGACAUCCAAAAGACUCUUUUCUAGUGCAUUACAAUCUUGCAUAGACAUUGUGGUUUAGAUUAGCCAUAAAUACAGCUUACUAUAAAAGAAGUAGGACUUAAAUAAAAUACUAAAAUAAUAAAAAUCAUAAAAAUAAAAUAAAUAAAAUAAUAACCUGGACCAAAAACCACAUUUUAGCACCUUACUAACUAAACUAAUGACACAUCAUCUCUGUUCCAUAUAUUUUCCUCUCAGAAGCACUUUACAGAUUAAACUAGAAUGCAGUGCUAAACUAACAGGGCCAAAAGGUCCAGUCUGGACGCAGGGGACAUGGCAGCAUGAACAUGUUUUAUCGUGCCGUCCACUUCUGUUUGCUCAAGUGACAACUGCAUCCUGUCUGAAAAGUGUCGCUCUCAUUUUCAGACCUCUGCAUCUGAAGCAGACUGCAGUUUGGCCCGUAUCACAUGCUUAUCACCCGCCAAAAACACAACAAACCUGGCUGAAAUUCAGCCAUCUGCACGCUACAGGACAGGGCAGAAUUUCCCUUUCAGGGGAAGAGUGCAUUGGAUACGGCAAGGAGCAGAGAUUCUGCAAGUAUCAAAACAAACAGCUUUCAGAGGCUCUUUUGAGGAGCAGGGAUGGGCGCACAUGAGCGAUGGAUGCUGGGCUUCGGAAGGGCUGAGCGAAGGGCGCUCUCAUUAGGUGACUAGUAGGGAAGCGGGUGGCUGCUGGUGUUAGUUCAGGGUCAGCUCACCUGUUCACACAAGCCUCUGCAUACACAAACAUGUCCAGCGCUCUCACACAUGAUGAUCCACUAAAACACACAUACACACAUUUAAUCAAAAAACACUGCAAAAGCAGAAAUGUAUAUAGUGUAUAUAAUAUCACACUUUAUACACUAUAUGCACUAUAUUUAAUAUGUCAAAAUGAAAUUGUCUUAUUAUGCACAAUUUAUUAGUGCAUGCCAUUCCGAAGAACAAUUCUUUAUCAUCUUUAAUUGAAAUAACUAUAACUUGCCCUACAACUGACUUUAUUUUAUGAAUUAUGCCAUCAAGC